rnacentral:rRNA from 1 species
GACGUAGGGGGCCAGCGUUGUUCGGAAUUACUGGGUGUAAAGGGUGCGUAGGCGGCUCGGUAAGUUGGGUGUGAAAUCCCUCGGCUCAACCGAGGAACUGCGCGCAAAACUACCGUGCUCGAGGGAGAUAGAGGUGAGCGGAACUUAGGGUGGAGCGGUGAAAUGCGUUGAUAUCCUAAGGAACACCGGUGGCGAAAGCGGCUCACUGGAUCUCUUCUGACGCUGAGGCACGAAAGCUAGGGUAGCGAACGGG